rnacentral:rRNA from 1 species
AACGAACGCUGGCGGCAUGCCUAACACAUGCAAGUCGAACGAGACCUUCGGGUCUAGUGGCGCACGGGUGCGUAACGCGUGGGAACCUUCCCUUAGGUUCGGAAUAACUCCCCGAAAGGGGUGCUAAUACCGGAUAAUGUCUUCGGACCAAAGAUUUAUCGCCUUUGGUUGGGCCCGCGUUGGAUUAGCUAGUUGGUAGGGUAAAAGCCUACCAAGGCGAGGAUCCGUAGCUGGUUUGAGAGGAGGAUCACCCACACUGGGACUGAGACACGGCCCAGACUCCUGGGGGAGGGACCAGUCGCGAAUCUUGAGGGAGGGGCGCAAGGGGGAUUGAGCAACACCGGGGGAGUGAUGAAGGCCUCCGGGCCGGAAAGGUCUGUUAGUGGUUAGGAAAAAAAGCGUCUUUAACCCGGGAUGUUAUGACGGUACCCAGAGAAAAAGCCCCGGCUAACUUCGUG